rnacentral:rRNA from 1 species
CCCUGCCAUUUGUACACACCGCCCGUCGCUAAUACCGAUGAAUGGCUUAGUGAGACCCUCGGAUUGUACUUGACGUCAGCAAUGACUGAUAGAUGCGAGAAGUUGGUCAAACUUGGUGAUUUAGAGGAAGUAAA